CAGACAAGAGCCACUCAGGCUAGCCAAGGUGACUGCCUAUCUGAGUUCAUCUGAAUCAGCGGCCAGGCCAAACUCAUGCACUGGAACAUUCAGAAGAGCACAUAGGCAAGUCAUCCUUGGCUACCAAAGGCAAGCUCUAGCCC
rfam:Leersia perrieri chromosome 4, whole genome shotgun sequence.